rnacentral:rRNA from 1 species
UACGUAGGGUGCAAGCGUUGUCCGGAAUCAUUGGGCGUAAAGAGCUCGUAGGCGGUUCGGCAAGUCGGAUGUGAAAUCUCCACGCUCAACGUGGAGGGGCCAUUCGAAACUGCCGUGACUCGAGUCCGGUAGGGGAGUGCGGAAUUCCCGGUGUAGCGGUGAAAUGCGCAGAUAUCGGGAGGAACACCAGUGGCGAAGGCGGCACUCUGGGCCGGAACUGACGCUGAGGAGCGAAAGCGUGGGGAGCGAACAGG